rnacentral:rRNA from 2 species
ACUGUUCAUACGUUGACGGUAUUUAACCAGAAAGUCACGGCUACUACGUGCCAGCAGCCGCGGUAAUACGUAGGUGGCAAGCGUUAUCCGGAUUUAUUGGGCGUAAAGAGAGUGCAGGCGGUUUUCUAAGUCUGAUGUGAAAGCCUUCGGCUUAACCGGAGAAGUGCAUCGGAAACUGGAUAACUUGAGUGCAGAAGAGGGUAGUGGAACUCCAUGUGUAGCGGUGGAAUGCGUAGAUAUAUGGAAGAACACCAGUGGCGAAGGCGGCUACCUGGUCUGCAACUGACGCUGAGACUCGAAAGCAUGGGUAGCGAACAGGAUUAGAUACCCUGGUAGUCCAUGCCGUAAACGAUGAGUGCUAGGUGUUGGAGGGUUUCCGCCCUUCAGUGCCGGAGCUAACGCAUUAAGCACUCCGCCUGGGGAGUACGACCGCAAGGUUGAAACUCAAAGGAAUUGACGGGGGCCCGCACAAGCGGUGGAGCAUGUGGUUUAAUUCGAAGCUACGCGAAGAACCUUACCAGGUCUUGACAUCUUGCGCCAACCCUAGAGAUAGGGCGUUUCCUUCGGGAACGCAAUGACAGGUGGUGCAUGGUCGUCGUCAGCUCGUGUCGUGAGAUGUUGGGUUAAGUCCCGCAACGAGCGCAACCCUUGUUACUAGUUGCCAGCAUUAAGUUGGGCACUCUAGUGAGACUGCCGGUGACAAACCGGAGGAAGGUGGGGACGACGUCAGAUCAUCAUGCCCCUUAUGACCUGGGCUACACACGUGCUACAAUGGACGGUACAACGAGUCGCGAACUCGCGAGGGCAAGCAAAUCUCUUAAAACCGUUCUCAGUUCGGACUGCAGGCUGCAACUCGCCUGCACGAAGUCGGAAUCGCUAGUAAUCGCGGAUCAGCAUGCCGCGGUGAAUACGUUCCCGGGCCUUGUACACACCGCCCGUCACACCAUGAGAGUUUGUAACACCCAAAGUCGGUGGGGUAACCUUUUAGGAGCCAGCCGCCUAAGGUGGGACAGAUGAUUAGGGUGAAGUCGUAACAAGUAGC